GGGCGUGUGGCUCAUUGGUUGAGGGUCUCGUUACCCUGGGAAGUGGUCCACGACCCUUUCUAUUCACCCCUUGGAGUUCUGGGUAACGAGGAGGAGCGGGUUCAAUUCCCGUCUCGUCCA